UGGUGGGAUACUACCCUCGUUGUAUGAACACUCUAACCCUCGCCGGCAAUCACGGCGGGAGACAGUGUCAGGUGGGCAGUUUGACUGGGGCGGUCGCCUCCUAAAAGGGAACGGAGGCGCCCAAAGGUUCCUUCAGAAUGGUUGGAAAUCAUUCGCAGAGUGUAAAGGCAUAAAGGAGCUUGACUGCGAGACCUACAAGUCGAGCAGGGACGAAAGUCGGGCUUAGUGAUCCGGUG
rnacentral:rRNA from 1 species